rnacentral:rRNA from 1 species
UACGGAGGGUGCAAGCGUUAUCCGGAAUUACUGGGCGUAAAGCGUGCGCAGGCGGUUCGCCAAGUCAGGUGUGAAAUCCCCGGGCUUAACCUGGGAAUUGCGCUUGAAACUAGCGGGCUUGAGUGUGGCAGAGGGGGGUGGAAUUCCACGUGUAGCAGUGAAAUGCGUAGAGAUGUGGAGGAACACCGAUGGCGAAGGCAGCCCCCUGGGUCAACACUGACGCUCAUGCACGAAAGCAUGGGGAGCAAACAGG